GCGACGAUCAGUAGCCGACCUGAGAGGGUGAUCGGCCACAUUGGAACUGAGACACGGUCCAAACUCCUACGGGAGGCAGCAGUAGGGAAUAUUGCACAAUGGGGGAAACCCUGAUGCAGCGACGCCGCGUGAGCGAAGAAGUAUCUCGGUAUGUAAAGCUCUAUCAGCAGGGAAGAAGAAAGUGACGGUACCUGACUAAGAAGCUCCGGCUAAAUAC
rnacentral:rRNA from 1 species